rnacentral:rRNA from 1 species
UACGUAGGCGGAAAAUUAAGUCAGUAGUGAAAUCCUGCAGCUUAACUGUAGAACUGUUAUUGAUACUGGUUUUCUUGAAUAUAGUUGAGGUAGGCGGAAUGUGUAAUGUAGCGGUGAAAUGCUUAGAUAUUACACAGAACACCGAUUGCGAAGGCAGCUUACUAAGCUAUGAUUGACGCUGAGGUACGAAAGCGUGGAGAGCGAACAGGAUUAGAUACCCUGGUAGUCC